CUAUCCUCUAAUUUCCCCUAAGUAUAAAAACUCAAAAAACUCAAUAUUAACAACAGUGAGUUAGCGCACAAAAAUGGAAAUAACCCCCAAACGUGAAGAGCAAAAUUUAUUAAUGAUAUUUAUUUGGGUGAAAUAUCAUUCAGCAGAAAGGCCAUGCAAAAUUAGGUAUGUUAUCUCUCUUAUGAAAUAUUUCUCGUCUUGUUGCCUAUAUCUGCAAAUUUGCCGUGAUUCUGUUUAUUUUAAAAUUAAAAGAAGCUUGCGUAGGCUUGUUCUUGUUGCUGUGGAUUAACACUAAUGUUUGUAACUCUGAGCACUCUAAAUAAAGAUUGAUAAAAAACAGAAACAUUUUGGUAUGACUUCUCAAGAAAAUGGCGGUUGCUAGGACAGAUUGGUGGCCCACAGGAGGGGUCAGUGAUGCCAUUUGCUACUGUAGUGCCUGUUCACAGCGUUUGCACUAAUCUUGUCUAAUGAUUGUCAUGCCAGGUGUGCAUAACUCAUUGUUGCACAAUAGAAUAUUGCCCUUUAAUGUAAUUUGUGUAGUGUAUAUAUAAAUUGGCCUCAUUUUUAUUAUAUUUAGAAUGGGAUAAGCACAAUCUUCUAAUCAAGCCCAAACAUGAUUUGCGUAACGUAACCAUAGGGGAAGGGAUUGUGAUGUCCGCUAUAUUGGGUCACAAGUAAGGAGUGUGACAUAUCUAUGGAAUGGAAAAAUGGUAACAAAUUCAUAAAUGCAAUUAUUAUUUCUGUGGAAAGUACAUUAGAGAAGAUAAAACCAAAUGUUUCCAUUUGGAUUGAUGUUGGUCUGGAACACAAGGGGGUGGUCACUUAUAGUUACUAUAGGUAUGCCUUGCCUCCACCUCUGGGUGAGUUUUGGUAAUCCACAGGGUAUAUAUCUAAUGAUACUGAAGUAUGUAUUGUUCUUGCUGGGAAGCCAGAAUCUAAUUCUGAGUGAGUCACUAUCUUCCUUACCAGAGACCCCCUGGGCAGAAGUUUUACUUUGAAAAGCUGAGUAAGUGAUUAGAACUUCUGGUAUUUUAUCCCUUUUGUUUUUAUCUGUUGUUGGUGUAACUAAUUUAGCAUCUAAUUUUUGUAUGCACUGUGACUAUUUUUUGCUCAUAAUAAAUAUUCCUUUAUUAAGUUCUGCCUUUGUCUGGUAAAUAAUUACGUUACCUGAAGAGACUAAUUAGUGUUUAGCAAUCGUUUAAAUAUUGUGCUCAGUUGUAUUUGGUGGGUUUUUAUUAUUAAGUUACCUGGGAGACCAAGGCACCCCAUUUAUAAAUUGUCUUGGUGGUGGCAGCAUUAAAAUAGUAAUGUUUAUAUUAUUAUGCUUACAUGUGGG